GGGGGCUUCUUUGUUUCUCUUCGGGCCCCUAUCUGCCGGCUGUACCCAAGCCUUGGGAUGCCAGCCCGGCUUGGGCGGCGACCCGCCCCAAGUCAACAAUUGAACCUCGCGGGAGAAGAGAGGCAGAACUUUACAGAAGAGGAAACCACGGGAAACCAAGUGAAGCCUCAAUUCCCACCCUCCUCCCUCCCCCGGGAGCACCUCCCUUCCAGCCUGCGCUCGUCACUUCAGGUGCCCAGUGAUUUCUCAAUGGACAUUUCCCUCUGUCUGGCAGGAAUCUGAUUUUCCCACCAGAUGAGUUCAACGCUGUCUGUUUUUCAAACCAUAUCUCAAAAGCCACACAGAACCCUGAGCACACAUUUCACCAGAUUUGACAGAUGAGCUUUGGUAUGAAGAAAACCUCCAAGAAUGGACUUGGCUGAGGUGCAACAAUAAACACCAGAAUCAACCAAAUGAUAAUACCAACCAGAAAUUUGGAAGAAAAACAAGUAAAUCAACAAAAGUCUCUUGUAUAAACUAAUAUUAAAGAUUUCUGAAGACACAAUUCCAACAAA
rnacentral:lncRNA from 1 species